AGAAACUUGGGUGACCAGAUAUCCCGAUAUUUGGGGCUUUAUCUUAUACAGCACUGCCUCAUAGUCCCAGUCACAGACCAGGAUGCCAUUGCGCUAGGACCUGUACAGACAUAGAACAAGUUGGUCCUCAACUGUAAUUAAUUGACACAUAUUAACAGCACAACAAACGGACAAGAGGAUAAUAAAGCAAGCAAAAAAGCCCCCUUUGGCCAGGUAAGUUUCAGUGUUUGCUCUGAAACUGGAAGCCCUCAAAGAGAGGAGAGAAACAUCACCAGGUGUGAAAUACUAGUUUGCCGCAGGAGCUGUCAUCUUCUGGCCAACACAAGAAGGCCCAUAGAUACCAGACAAACCCUUGUGGGACUUCAGAAGACAAAAGACUUUUUUGAUUGCUCUCCCCACCUCCAGAGGAGGGAUGUGCACAUGGACUCCUCCCAUCACCUUGAACUGUGGGGAAAGGGAAUAAAAAUCCCCGACAAGAAGAAACGGCACCUUUGUGGCUGUUUGAACUCUGAAGGGCCAGAGACUUGAAACUGAAGCCAGAGAUCUCCAGGGGCUGCCUCCUGGGGUGCCCUGAAAGAUGCUUUGAAUAGACAGAUCAGGACAAUUCUGUCACUCUCAGGAGUCAGAUGGUAACUCAUUGGUUGUACAUGUUCGCUUGCUUUGACCUGUA